rnacentral:rRNA from 1 species
UACAGAGGUCCCAAGCGUUGUUCGGAUUCACUGGGCGUAAAGGGUGCGUAGGCGGUCGGGUAAGUCUGAUGUGAAAUCUCACAGCUUAACUGUGAAACUGCAUUGGAUACUAUUCGGCUUGAGAGUUGGAGGGGGGACUGGAAUUCUCGGUGUAGCAGUGAAAUGCGUAGAUAUCGAGAGGAACACCAGUGGCGAAGGCGAGUCCCUGGACAACUUCUGACGCUGAGGAGCGAAAGCGUGGGGAGCGAACAGG